GUGUGGCAUUUCUGCUGAUUCUGUCUGGUGCGCAUGGGGCAGCUGCUCAUCAGGGUGAAAGGUGACAUGAGAAACAUUAAGAAUGCUGUUCAAAGGCAGCUGUAACCGCUGCUACUACUACAGCAAUGAAGGGAGGAUACCGUAUCCCUAACCCCCCUUCCCGUCCUACAUCGGAGAAGUGAUAAGAUCCAUUAGGGACUUAUGAUGGGAUCCUCCUACAAUAGCGAGCUCUGUGUGGGACGUGCAGAAUGGCCUUAUGAACUAGAGCAUGUGAGAACCAGGCUCUGCUUUUGGCAGGGGACGUUAACACACAGAGCGCUGAUUCAGCAAACAUGCCAUACACUCAAUCUCAUUACAUAUAGCUGCUCUCAAUCAUUGAUAAUAAUUCUGGACUGGAUCGUCACUGAUCUACAGGGAGCUCUGUUCUACUUGAUUUAUUUGAGUAUGCUUUAUGGUCAGCUCUUUGAACAACAGUUCUGUGAGAAUUUUUGGAUUUGUGACAUUCUUUUUUAUGUUUUAAAUUUUGGAAUGACGAUGUCAUCGACUUGUUUGUCCCCUCAGAAUACCAAAACCAGAGCCUGAAAUGUUUUGUAUCUGUUCAGUGUUAAGUUUUUUGUCAAUUUAAAAAAGGAGAAAAUAAUUAUUGAGGAAAGUACUUCAAAAGUCUCUGGCCAUGAUGUUGGUUUAUCUCCUCACCACAUAUCCAAAAUAGCCAUCAGGGCCAGUACGGGUCAUCUGGCUUUGUUUGCUCAUGUUAAUAUUUAUCCUUUGAAGUUCAUUGAAGGAUCAGUCCAGAGAACAUUAGUAAUUAUUGUGAUGAAUUCCCUACAUCCCCACUUUAAAGAACAAAAAGAAGAAAAAAAAUUCUGUAUUCGAUACAGAAAAAAAUUAAUUGUAACAAUGUUUGUUCACCCUCCAAAUAAUAAUUAAUGACAAAUUAAUAUGUUCGAUAAACAAUGUGUUCACACACGAUUUUCCAUGAAAUGUUAGCCCUAAUGCCAG
ensembl:lncRNA